GUGUCAGCAGCCGCGGUAAUACGGAGGGUGCGAGCGUUGUCCGGAAUCACUGGGCGUAAAGGGCGCGUAGGCGGCUCCAUAAGCGGGCGGUGAAAGCCCGGGGCUCAACCCCGGGUCGGCCGUGCGGACUGUGGGGCUGGAGCACUGUAGAGGCGGGUGGAAUUCCGGGUGUAGCGGUGGAAUGCGUAGAGAUCCGGAAGAACACCGGUGGCGAAGGCGGCCCGCUGGGCAGUGGCUGACGCUGAGGCGCGACAGCGUGGGGAGCAAACAGGAUUAGAUACCCCAGUAGUCC
rnacentral:rRNA from 1 species